rnacentral:rRNA from 17 species
AGGUUAAGUUAAUAAGGGCGCACGGUGGAUGCCUUGGCACUAGAAGCCGAUGAAGGACGUGACUAACGACGAAAUGCUUUGGGGAGUUGUAAGUAAACAUUGAUCCAGAGAUGUCCGAAUGGGGGAACCCGGCAUGUAAUGCAUGUCACUCAUUACUGUUAAGGUAAUGAAGAGGAAGACGCAGUGAACUGAAACAUCUAAGUAGCUGCAGGAAGAGAAAGCAAAUGCGAUUGCCUUAGUAGCGGCGAGCGAAAUGGCAAGAGGGCAAACCGAUGUGUUUACACAUCGGGGUUGUAGGACUGCGACGUGGGACGACAAGAUUAUAGAAGAAUUACCUGGGAAGGUAAGCCAAAGAGAGUAACAGCCUCGUAUUCGAAAUAGUCUUUAACCCUAGCAGUAUCCUGAGUACGGCGAGACACGAGAAAUCUCGUCGGAAUCUGGGAGGACCAUCUCCUAACCCUAAAUACUCUCUAGUGACCGAUAGUGAACCAGUACCGUGAGGGAAAGGUGAAAAGCACCCCGGGAGGGGAGUGAAAUAGAACCUGAAACCGUGUGCCUACAACAAGUUCGAGCCCGUUAAUGGGUGAGAGCGUGCCUUUUGUAGAAUGAACCGGCGAGUUACGAUAUGAUGCGAGGUUAAGUUGAAGAUACGGAGCCGUAGGGAAACCGAGUCUUAAUAGGGCGCAUUAGUAUCAUGUCGUAGACCCGAAACCAUGUGACCUACCCAUGAGCAGGGUGAAGGUGAGGUAAAACUCACUGGAGGCCCGAACCAGGGCACGUUGAAAAGUGCUUGGAUGACUUGUGGGUAGCGGAGAAAUUCCAAACGAACUUGGAGAUAGCUGGUUCUCUCCGAAAUAGCUUUAGGGCUAGCGUCGAUGUUAAGUCUCUUGGAGGUAGAGCACUGUUUGAUUGAGGGGUCCAUCCCGGAUUACCAAUAUCAGAUAAACUCCGAAUGCCAAUGAGAUAUAAUCGGCAGUCAGACUGCGAGUGCUAAGAUCCGUAGUCGAAAGGGAAACAGCCCAGACCACCAGCUAAGGUCCCAAAAUAUAUGUUAAGUGGAAAAGGAUGUGGGGUUGCACAGACAACUAGGAUGUUAGCUUAGAAGCAGCUAUUCAUUCAAAGAGUGCGUAAUAGCUCACUAGUCGAGUGACCCUGCGCCGAAAAUGUACCGGGGCUAAAACAUAUUACCGAAGCUGUGGAUACCUUUUAGGUAUGGUAGGAGAGCGUUCUAUGUGUGAAGAAGGUGUACCGUGAGGAGCGCUGGAACGCAUAGAAGUGAGAAUGCCGGUAUGAGUAGCGAAAGACAGGUGAGAAUCCUGUCCACCGUAUGACUAAGGUUUCCAGGGGAAGGCUCGUCCUCCCUGGGUUAGUCGGGACCUAAGGAGAGACCGAAAGGUGUAUCCGAUGGACAACAGGUUGAUAUUCCUGUACUAGAGUAUAUAGUGAUGGAGGGACGCAGUAGGCUAACUAAAGCGUGCGAUUGGAAGUGCACGUCUAAGCAGUGAGGUGUGAUAUGAGUCAAAUGCUUAUAUCUCUAACAUUGAGCUGUGAUGGGGAGCGAAGUUAAGUAGCGAAGUUAGUGAUGUCACACUGCCAAGAAAAGCUUCUAGCGUUAAUUAUACUCUACCCGUACCGCAAACCGACACAGGUAGUCGAGGCGAGUAGCCUCAGGUGAGCGAGAGAACUCUCGUUAAGGAACUCGGCAAAAUGGCCCCGUAACUUCGGGAGAAGGGGCGCUGGCUUUAAGUCAGCCGCAGUGAAUAGGCCCAAGCAACUGUUUAUCAAAAACACAGCUCUCUGCUAAAUCGUAAGAUGAUGUAUAGGGGGUGACGCCUGCCCGGUGCUGGAAGGUUAAGAGGAGCGCUUAGCAUUAGCGA